GCGCGGGCGCGGGAGCGAGGCGGGCGGGGCGCCCCGAGGCGGCGGGCAUCAGGAGCGGCCCGUAGCGCGGGUCGAAGUGCGGCGCGUAGACCUCGUGCACCGACGCCGGUCGCGGGUAUCCAGGGAGCUGCUACUGACAUCUAUUUAAACCUGGUGUUCUUAACAGAAGCAUAAUAACAUGGAUUGGACAGUCAGCAAGCAUCCCUACCUGCAACCAAACAAGUUGAUCAUCCUUCUCAGUAUCUACAUCUCCCUAGAAUUGUAAGGAAACACUCUCCGAAGAUGUUACAGUGGAGGCCCCAGAAGAUGCCUAAGCAACCCUGUUAUAAACUGAGUUUAAAAAUCAAACUCUACAGGUAAAAGUUACCCAAGUCCAGUUAGAACUUGGCUCCAGAACAGAUACACAAGAUGCAGAAUUAAACAGCAUCAUGAUGGACUAUGAAAAGACCCAAAUCCACUCCAUGCAACCAAGAAUAUAAAGGAAGAACUGUUUCAGUAGAUACAAAGUAAUUCAGUUUAAGGGAGAAUCUUUUAGGUAUAACCAUGUAGAAUAACAUUGUGAUAUACAUCAUCUUAAUAAUAAACCAAGUUGAUACUUGGCCACUAAUAAACUUUAAAAGUCUGUCUCAGUUUUUAAAUAAACAUUUAUUUAUUUAU